UUUCAACGAGUACCUUCGUACCUUCAUCAUCUCAAGGCCUCAUCAUUGGGAUGGAGUCAGGCCAAUUGGUUUUUGCCACCCGCACAUCUGUAAGGGAGGAACAGUUGCCUUUUGCUCAAUUACUCAACCGUCACAAUGGAGAUAUCGGGAUUUUUCCUUAUUUUGGGCAAUAUAUUAUUUUGUGACGUCAAUCAGACUUUCAGCCAUGGAACAGAAAGAGAUCUUCCGAAAGUCAUUAGCUCUUGAAUUUGAUUAGUAUUUUAUUCAUAAUCUUUGCUCACAACGGGAAACCUCACCCUGUGAGCGGAUUCAUCUUACACCAUGGUUUUCUUUACCCUUUAAACUUGCAAUGAUUGCCAUGGCCUCAAUCACCAGUAAAGGCUGAUCAAUGGGCUGCCUGAUAAAAUUUGUUUUCUUCAUCAAGACGGUUCGAUGUGGAUUAUCGUGAUGCCCUUAUGUCUGGUGGAAGAGUAUAAAAUUCUGCAUGCUCUUUCAUGAAUCCACAGUCAAGCCUUGCUGUGAUCUGCUCACUAGAAGAGAUUCCUCUGUGGGUAGUGGUGGCGUGGGCUACCAAGUUAUUUCAUUGGCUGCAUAGAAGGCUGCUCACUGGCUAUCCUGACCACAUCGUGCCUGUCCUGGAGGUGUGACUGCUCAGCAUAUUUCAUUGGUUUCUUUUACUUGUAUUCCAAUAUUCAGAUGUUUCAAUGCAAGAAAGCUUCCGAACUAUUACGCUCCAUGAAAAUUGUUUGGGUGCUCAAACACUUGAUCAUUGUAUUGGAAUAAAAUGAAAUAUGUUUUUGUCAGUGUAUGGUGUGUCAUCUUUUUUUUAUCAACGAUUUCAUCAGUUUUCUUUGACCUGCGUAAUAAUUGCCUAGGCCUCAAUUACAUUCACGAUUGAUCAGUCAUGACACCAGAUUGAGAUUAAUUCAUUGGUGGUCAUUGACUCAUCAUCAUCAUCAUUGAAGCUGUUAGGCCUAACAGCUAUAAUGAAGUUCCCCUUAUUAUGAUGUUGGUAUACAAUAACUGUUUCCAUGAGAGGUGAUAAGCUACCAAGUGAGUUUCGGGUUAUAUUGUUCAUAAAAAAUGUGGUUUUGAAUGCCUUGGCCUCAAUCAGCAGAAGAAAAAUGAUCCUUUAGCUUUAUGAUUUUAUUCUUUCCUUCAUGAUAAUGUUGAAAUGCAAUAAUUGUUUCCUUAAGAGAGUGCUUGCCAGGAUGUCUUUACUCUUGCCAAACAUUUUGGAUCUUAAAUGCCUGCUUUUCAUAUAAUCAAACAGGCAAAAGCAAAUGAUCUAUAAGACAGAGACUGGUUGGAUUGCUGGCUGGCAAGGGAGGCGGACAAGAAGACAGACUUGCUGGCACCUACGCAGUUGUGUGAUCACACACAUUUUGAAAGCAGGAGAGGGAAGUGGUAGCAAAGCAAAAGCAGUUUUUAUCUUACAUCGUACAAACCAGUCAAGUAUGUUCCAGUCAAAGUGUUGUGCCAUUACAUAAAAGCUCUCAAGAAUGAUUUGCCUUUUGAAAAAAGUGCUUCUGUUGUAAAUGCAGAAAGGUUGUCCUGCAGAUAUUGGCAUGGUGCAAACAAACCUUAAUCAAUGACAUUGGCUUCAAAGUUUCUGAAUCUAUUCAGUCAAAGGUUUUCACCACAAGUGAAUUGAUGAAAGCAAAACUGUGGGCAAGGGCACUUCUAUUACAAUGGACUUAAUGGGACAUGUUACUUAGAGGCACAAUUGUCAUAUUUUAUGACACUGGCACUGCAGCUAGGUGUGUGCGUUUGGUUCCGACACAUCCCAUCCAAGAAAUGGACACAAUCCCGACGGGGUAAACUGGAGAGACUUUCUUUGAAGACCGUCAGGCAGGCAGGCAGGCAGGCAGGCAGUGCAAGAAGUACACAAGCAAGCAGCGUGGAACAUCCAACAAAGAAAACAAAAGCAUUCAAGUCAAGGCAUGAUGCAAAUAUAAGCUGAAAAGCUUUUGAAAAUCUUGAUGAUGGUUUUUCUUAAGUGCCCUGCGAGACUUCCUGAG
rnacentral:lncRNA from 1 species